GACGAACGCUGGCGGCGUGCCUAAUACAUGCAAGUAGAACGCACAGUUUAUACCGUAGCUUGCUACACCAUAGACUGUGAGUUGCGAACGGGUGAGUAACGCGUAGGUAACCUGCCUGGUAGCGGGGGAUAACUAUUGGAAACGAUAGCUAAUACCGCAUAAUAUUAAUUAUUGCAUGAUAAUUAAUUGAAAGGUGCAAUUGCACCACUACCAGAUGGACCUGCGUUGUAUUAGCUAGUAGGUGAGGUAACGGCUCACCUAGGCGACGAUACAUAGCCGACCUGAGAGGGUGAUCGGCCACACUGGGACUGAGACACGGCCCAGACUCCUACGGGAGGCAGCAGUAGGGAAUCUUCGGCAAUGGACGAAAGUCUGACCGAGCAACGCCGCGUGAGUGAAGAAGGUUUUCGGAUCGUAAAGCUCUGUUGUAAGAGAAGAACGGGUGUGAGAGUGGAAAGUUCACACUGUGACGGUAUCUUACCAGAAAGGGACGGCUAACCACGUG
rnacentral:rRNA from 1 species